GAAGACUUUCUGCUCCAAAGGCUGGAAUGAGAGCGAGUUUUGUCCUGGGGGAAAUGUCUCGUGGAGCUGCUGCAGAGGGGCAAGGCAAGCGUGGAAGCCAUCGGCUUGGUUUCGGUUUUACACGUCUUGCUCAAUCGAUGGAUCCAUGUGGAGGGGAGAGUGUGCCUUGUUUAUCAGCCGCAUGUACGCAGGAUUGCAGUCUCACUGCCUGAGUCACUCUGGCUCCCACCCUGGGUUCAGAAAGUAUUUUGUAAAGGUCAAAUCGCCUCGCUCCUCCUCGUGGCUUGAGCCGGUGGUGUCGCAGCCUGAAUAACGGGGAAAGCUGAAAGUUCUGUGCCCAGAACUGGGUGCUGGGCUGCCACCCAGGAGGCGGGGACCUUCGGAGCCCUGUUUUGCAGAAACCAACAUGCUGCCCAACAGACCACUCAUUGAUUGGAAGAGAAAAGAGCACAGGGCCUUCGAACCAUGGCUUUGGAGUGGACAGGAGUAAGGAUGAUGAAUGGCCACAGCAGAGAGCACAGGACCCAGAGGCAGACGGGCCUGGGCUCCCACCGGCCGCUGCCACCUGCAGGCUGAGUGACCUUGCGC